rnacentral:ribozyme from 1 species
AAAAAAAAAAAAAAGAGAAGAGUAGGAUGUCACCUCCUUGUCAUCAUUCAUCAGGGGGCUUUCUUUUCAGUUCUUUUUGGUCUUUCUCUUACUUUCUUUUUUCUCUUUUCUC